GCAGCAGAAAGACGUGCUGAGUGUAAAGCUGUCAGCAGGGGGAAUAACACAGGGCUGUGAAUGAGUCCUGUCACUGUGAUCAGGCUCCUCCUUCUAAUCCACCAACUUAGUGUUGAUGAAGACUAAACAGAGAGAUCACAGCUUCUUUAUACUUGCUGUAGCUCACAGUUACUCUACACUGCAGAUAUGACGCCUCUGUUCAUCUCAGUGCUGCUGGCUGCUAUGUGCCUCGAAUGCAGAGCACAAAAAGACAACGUGCUGCAAGCAAAAGGAGAAGAGACUGCUGCUGAAGGAGACACAGUAACACUUCACUGUCUCUAUAACACCAGCAGUACAACUAGUAAUUAUCUCUACUGGUACAAACAGGAUGGAAACAACAGCCCCAAAUUCAUCCUGAUCCGCUUUAAUGGGGACCAAGGAAACACAGCAGAUGAGUUCAAGGAGAGAUUUUCAUCCACACUGGAUUCCAGCAUCAGAUCAGUUCCUCUGAAGAUCCAGAAGCUUCAGUUGUCUGACUCUGCUGUGUACUACUGUGCUCUGCAGCCCACAGUGACAGGAAACACCAAAACUCUGUACAAAAACCUUUGGAGCAAAGACAACAGAAUACUCCACAACAUCCACUAGAGGGAGCCACACACUGUUAAACCUCUGAUUCUUGUGUCAUUGGACUGAUGACAAAGACAACAGAGAAAUGAAGCAGUAAAGAUCAGAGACAGAGACAGAGCUGCUGUGGAAGCACAAAACUAUUUGAUUGGCUGAGCUGAACUGAAAUGAUGAUACCAGAGGUAACUGGCCCCGCCCACUGAUCUUGAGCUCAUCCAA